UAGGGAAUCUUCGGCAAUGGGGGCAACCCUGACCGAGCAACGCCGCGUGAGUGAAGAAGAUUUUCGGAUCGUAAAGCUCUGUUGUAAGAGAAGAACGUGUGUGAGAGUGGAAAGUUCACACAGUGACGGUAACUUACCAGAAAGGGACGGCUAACUACGUGCUAG
rnacentral:rRNA from 1 species